UAAAACCCCAGCAAGCAACUGUGUGUUUGCAUCUCUUCCGCCAUCAAAAUCAAAACUUUUUAUCAAAAACCCCCCCAAAAAAUCCAAUUUUAUCUCACCAAUCUCUAUUGCAAAUCUAUCUGCAUAUACUUGUGUGUACGUAUAGUUCUUUGUUGCUUGAUCAUGUCAAUCUUCAAUUCUCUGUUCCGUCUUUCGCAGUGCGGUUUUAUCAGAUUGAUUGUUGGAAUUUGGAAUUGGGAGAACGUUGACCUGCUUCCGGAAUUUGGAAUUUUGCUACAGAGGACUUGGAGAUGGGAGCUAACUGUUGUGGAUGUCACAAAGGAACUGUUGAAUCAGUUCAAGGCUCCAUCAUGUCGUUAACUGACCUGAAGAACCAAGCUAGAGACCUCGAGGAGAUGGUUGUAGAAGAGACAAGAGAUGAUGCUGGGCCUCCGAGUCCUACCUCGAGCCCUUCAGAAGUUGAGGUCCUAGCUACAGGCCUCAAGGAGAUGGUUGUAGAAGUGGCAAGAGAUUAUGCUGGGCCAUCAGAACCACUACCUCUAAGUCCUACCUCGAGCCCUUCAGAAAUUGAGGAGAUAUCCCAGUCUGUAUGUCUGGUAUCACAAGAUGAAACCUCGGAUACCAAAGAAUCACCCAAAAAUCUUGAUCAAGAUGAAGUGUCAAGUUUUGAAGCAUCAAAUUAUCUUUGGAGUACUGGGUUGUUUCCUUACCCGAUUCCGAGUGGUUUUUACUCUGUGGUCCCGGUUGAGAGAUUGAAGCUUUCUAAAAGCAUUCCUACAAUGGAAGAAAUUAAUGCUCUUGAGGAUCAUGAACGACUUAAGGCUGGUGUGAUUUGUGUAGAUUUUAAGAAGGAUUACAAGCUUCGGUUGUUGAAGCUGUUAUAUUACGGACUUGUCAGUGGAUUGAACUCAGAGCCGGUUAAAGUAAUUAAGAAAACUGCUGAACUGGUAGUAAAAGCAAAACGGAGUCAAUCAUUUAAAAGUCGUGGGUUUCCACUGCUAGGAAACAUCAUCAAACAUGGUUCUUGUCGUGCUCGAGCAAUCCUCUUUAAAGUUCUGGCUGAUACUGUUCGUCUUGAAAGUAAGCUUGUAGUGGGUUUCCCUAGUGAUCUGGGAUCUUCCUCUAGUGUCGAUCCACGUUAUCAUAUGUCUGUUGUGGUUGCGCUCGAUGGUGUGGAAAUGCUGGUCGACCUUAAGCGAUGUCCUGGUCAGCUAAAACCCUUCUCACCCAAGGAAGUUUAUCUAGCUCAUGUCUCAACGGCAUGGCAGACUGGUUUUGUAGACAGUGACUCUUGUGCUUCACCAUUGGAGCCAAACAGUCCCAUGGAACGGUCUGGUUCUUCAUCUGUGUUACAAUCCGGUUCAAGUGGUUCACGAAACAAGCUAAUCAUCAAGGAACAGGGAUCUCCUGGUUCCAGUUCUAACUCAAAUGGAACAGCAGAGCCGGAAACAGAGGGAAUAAGGAGUAGGCGUAUGAAGACUCCUAAGAUCAGCCCUGGAGAGGGGUCCCAAAUGGUAAAGUCAUUGAUAUAGUUGCCAUAUAAAGGAGCCCGGCUCAAAAUACCUGAAGCGAGCUUAUUGCAGAUUGUUGGUCGGAACCAAAGCAUAAGGCCGAGCUGUGAAGACAGUUACUGUUCUAAGAGAAACAAGAGUUAGAUUAAGGUGUUAGAAAAUUCAUCGAGUUUUGUUCUCCUGAUCUCUCCGGAUUCUUCAUUGACUCUAUUACUAUUAAUAACAAUGGUUUUUUGUAUUAUGAAAUCAUUUCAUUGAUUGCAAAUUU